rnacentral:rRNA from 1 species
UGCAGUCGACGGUAAUAGAUCAGCAUGGUCUAUGAGAGUGACGCACGGGUGCGUAACACGUAUGCAACCUACCCUUUACAGGAGUAUAGCUCGGGGAAACUCGAAUUAAUGCUCCAUGAAAUAGUUGAAUGGCAUCAUUUGAUUAUUAAAGCUGAGGUGGUAAAGGAUGGGCAUGCGUCUGAUUAGCUAGUUGGUAGUGUAACGGACUACCAAGGCGAUGAUCAGUAGGGGAACUGAGAGGUUGAUCCCCCACACUGGCACUGAGAUACGGGCCAGACUCCUACGGGAGGCAGCAGUAGGGAAUAUUGGUCAAUGGGUGAGAGCCUGAACCAGCCAUGCCGCGUGCAGGAAGACGGCCUUCUGGGUUGUAAACUGCUUUUGCCAGGGGCUAAAAAGUCCAUGCGUGGAAAAUUGAAAGUACCUGGUGAAUAAGCCACGGCUAACUACGUGCCAGCAGCCGCGGUAAUACGUAGGUGGCAAGCGUUGUCCGGAUUUAUUGGGUUUAAAGGGUGCGUAGGCGGCUCUGUAAGUCAGUGCUGAAAUAUCCCGGCUUAACUGGGAGGGUGGCAUUGAUACUGUGGGGCUAGAGUACAGAUGA